rnacentral:misc_RNA from 1 species
AGCGAAACGCCGCAAAGAACCCAUUCCUGCGAUAGACUACGGAUCUUCGACCUGAUAUGCUUCUAUGUAUCGUUACUGGGAUUUGUGGUGCUUGUGUCGAGUUUUGCCAUUUUAGUCAAAACAGCCUAAAUGUGCAUAAACCACUGCAUGUAUGUUAAGUAAUAAGGCUGUAAGUUUAAAAAAUGUACUGUAUACUGGGAAAUAUUCGCCCCCGUUUUAUUUUCGCCCCUUUCGCCCUCGAUGUCAGCGGGCGAAUUGAAGACAGGCCAAAUACCAAUGUUCUAAGUUAUCUCUUUUAAUAGUACACAAUUUUGUCUGGGUAGAUUUAAGAAUUAAGGGGCGAAACUAUUCACAAGGGGAAAAGGGUAAAAAUAACACGGGGCGAAAAUAACCCUGUAUACAUGUACAGUAUUUGAUUUACAUGAAAUGUGAAAAUGAAAACGAGAAAAAAUAUGUGUUCGAUUACCGUUCGUGUCUGAACUUAGUCGCUAAUAGGCUCAUUAACUUUGCUGAUAUUUUGCUGAUAUUUAUAAUAUACGAUAUUUAACAUAUCUAUGCACUCUAUAGAUAAACAAACAAAUAAUAUAAAGCAUGUAUAUUUUAGUUAUAUUGAUUCUUUGAAAUUAGCGGCAACUGGGUACUUAGACGAGCUUGAUGUGGGUUAUUAUCAUAAUGAAUUGUUGUAAACUGACAAAUAUACAAUGCAAUUAUUUAAUAAACUGUUAUGUAACAAUG